rfam:Capsicum annuum cultivar Zunla-1 chromosome 4, whole genome shotgun sequence
GCCGCUAUAGUGAAAUUGGAAGGCACGCUGCUCUUAGGAAGCAAUGCUAAUGCAUCUCGGUUCGAGUCCGAGUGGCGGCA